AUAAAUCAUGAAGGUAAUUCUUAAAUCUUGAUUUAUACUUUGAUUUUUAUAUAUGAAGUUAAGAUUUAUAAAUUUAAUAUUGAAAGGAUAUAUUUAUGUAUGUAUUGAAUGAUUUAAAUUUGCAUAAACAUGAAUCAAAGGAAAGAAAUCAAGAAAUCAAAAGAAGAACAAACUAUGGAGAUUUUCAGAAAAAUUAGUAAAAUGCAUAAGUGUUUGUGUAUAAUGAGUUAGGAGUUGAGCCAUAUAUAAAAAAGAAAGCCCUGGAAGUAAGCUAAACGCAGAAAUUUGAAUCACCCAAAAGUUCUUUGUAGAUUUUUCGUGAUGACAGUUUGAGUGAAACUGGUCUGAAGGACUUAUAGUCCGAAAAAUCAGUUUUAUUAAGCUCUAUUGCGUGAGUUAUACUUUUUAAUCCGACCGUUGGAUCGUUGUAAUGUUUGGAUAUGUUAUGCAUAUAUAAGUUGAGUAUUUGUCCACAAAUUUUGAACCGUUAAAGAUUAAUGAAUGAUUUGUUAUGAAUUUAAGAAGGUGACUGAUCCAGAAAUUGUUGUAGCAGAAAUUUCGGUAAGCCUUUCUCUCUAUGUUAGAGUCAGAAUUUGGGAAAAUUUUCUUCUACAAAGUUUUAGUGAAUCAAAUUUUACAUGGAAGGACAUAAGAUCUGUAUUUUUCUGAUAAAAGUGCUAAUUAUUGAAAUUUCUGAUUGGACUUUAUAAUUAAUUUAUCAGAAAAAUUAUUUGGGCUGAAAUAUUUUUACAGGAAGCUUAUUAUAUCAUCUUAGAAUUUCUGUAAAAUUUUGAUGAAUUAUUGAAAAGCAGAAGUAAUUAUUAUAUUUUUAAACUAUUUAUAGUUAGUUUGAAAAUAGAAGAAAUUCGUAGAAAAUUCUAUGAAUUAUGAAAAAUUAUGAAACUUGGUGAAAAAUCUUAUAAUAUUAUUUUAUAAUUUUUGGGCAGUUUUGAUAAAUUAUUGAAUAACAGAAAUAUUUAUUGUAUUUUUAAGCUAUUUAUGGUUAGUUUAAAAAUAGAGAAAAUUAAUAGAAAAUUCUAUGAAUGGUGGAAAAUUAUGAAUUUUGCUGAAAAAUAUUAUAAUAAUGUAAGAUUAAUAUUGAUGAUGUUUUAAAGAUAUAAAAGUAUGUGGAGUUAGUAUUUCUAUUUUGAAGCUAUUAAAUGAUAGUUUUUAUAAAUAGAAAUAAUUAUUGAAAAUUGUUGGAUAAUCCGAAAAAUGUGAAAACUGUUUAGAAAGUUCAGAAUACUAUUUUAAAUAUUUUAGAAGUGUUAAUAAGCUCAUGAGGUGUCGAGAUGUAAAUGCACAAGUAACGAAUGAGUUAUGAUAAAAACAAAAAUAAUAUUUUUGUUAAAAUAAAAAUGGUAAUAAUACCAGAAUAGUGGAUUUUCAUAUAUGAGGUUUUAGAUUUCUCAAGUUUUAUUAUUCACUUCUAAAGUUUUGGAAUAUGAAUAAUGAUUUUAUGCGAUAAAUAAAGAUAACUUGAAUGAAUAAUGAAUUGUUAGUUGGUUUAUGUGUUAUUCGAGAUAAAUAUAGGUUGGUGUUGAUCCCUACUUUUAAUAGAAUUUAAAUUGGUUAUAGCAAUGUAUUGAUUUGAUUCUUACGUAAGUAGCCACUCAGUAUUUUAUUCAAUAAUUGUCACAGUAAUUAUUGCACAGUGAUUUAUAUUAUUGAUUACGUAAGAAGUCACUCGGUAUUUAUUUCAAUAAUUGCCACAGUAGUUAUUGCACAGUAACUCAUAUUAUUUGAUAUAAUUAAACCAGUUGGCAGUAUUGUGAGUCUUUUUUAAUAAUUAUGAAUAAUUGUUGAAAAAUUAAAUAUGUGUAAAUAAUUGAUGAAUAAAAGGUUUUGAUUAAAGAUAAGUAUGAUAUACAGAUGUCUGUUCAAUUAUUUUCUUUUUACAAAAGUAAGUUUAGCAGGACUUGUCGACACUCUACUUUUUCUAAAGUAGUAUGAACCACAACUCUAUUAUUGAACAAAUUUUGUUAAAACGUGUACAAGUUGGUUUAAUUUUCUCGAUGGGACCAUAAAUUCCACUACCAUUAUUAUAUACCUCAUUUGGAUAUUUUGUCAAAGCGGGUGUGCUAGUUGUUUACUAAAUUUUCAGUAUAAAUAGGUUGCUCGGGUGAGUAACUAAACACACACCAUCACUACACUAAAAAUAUAGAAUUCUUUUACUUCAAUAUUGUGAGUAUAAUAUUGUGAGUAUUUCUAUUGAGUGCAAUGUUACUCCAAGUGUAGAUAAGGAAUGCAAGCAUUGUUUAAGUUAAUCAAUUUCACAGAAAGCAGAAUCAAGUCACAUGUCAAGGUAAGGGAUAUCAUUAUUGUGGUAAGAGGGUAUCAUUUUUAUGGUAAAAAGAAUAUCAUUUUCUUUCAUACUCCAUAUUAUGGUAAGAUAUUAUUAUUCGUUUAUUCAGUUUAUCAUUAAAUGGUAAAAAGUCCUGAAAGGAUUAGAAUAUCCUUAUUAAUAGUUUGUGCUUCAUCUAUUAUUAUGUUAUCAAUUUGGAUUCUGAAUAAUUAAGUUGAAAAUCACUAAGAUCUAUGUUAUCUUAUUAUUCUGAUUAUUUAUGUUUAUUCAUUAUAUAUCAUUGUCAUCAUUCUCAUACUUAUAUUGUGUUGAAAGUCAUUUUUGGCCAGUUGUGCAUAGAUGGACUUGGUAUGAUUAUGACCAGGGAUUUUUCGAUAUAAUCACGACCGUAAUGUUACAAAUGAUGUGGUAAAAGUCAUCUUUGGCCGUAGUGCAUAGAUGGACUUGGUAUGAUUAUGACCAGCGAUUAUUCGGUAUAAUCAUGACCGUAAUGUUACAAAUGAUGUGGUAAAAGUCAUCUUUGGCCAGUUGUGCAGAGAUAGACUGUUGAGUGGCAUGAUAAUGACCAGGGAUUAUUCGGUAUAAUCAUGACCAUUGUUGAAAACACGAAUAUCAUUGGCCCGUAGUACAUGGAUAAUUCGUGGUCGUGAUACUAUUGAGCUGAGUCUCAACGUUAUUGAUUUUACAGUUGUAUGUCUUAGGCUUGUAUUGCAAAGAUGUACUGUUGAUUUACCUGAUUAUAAAUAUGAAUUGUGAUUUAAUUAUAAUCUGUGGUGGUCCAGGUGAAGACAGGUGAUGAGAGUUCUCUUUGUCUUGGGUAUAACAAAGAACUGUUGACAUAUUAACGAAAUAUUAACAAAGAACUGUUGAACUGAAAUAUUAACAAUGAACUUUUAAUCUAGAGGAGAUAGUAGACAUUAUGAUCUACUUGACUCUUCUAAUGGAUUGUUGAUUCCACUGCUAUUAUGGUUGAAAACUUGUAUCUUCUACCAUAUGUUCUAAAUAUCUGAAUUAUUUUGAUAAUUUAAUUAUCUUAAGUCAUGAUAUUCUUUACUGGGCUAUUUGUGCUCACCCUUUUACUUCACUACCCCUUUCAGGUAAUAAAAGUGUAGCUGAAACUAGCAGAGAGAACAUGGGUAUAAAGUGGUGAUACGAAUUAGUCACAAGCCUAAUCAAAUUAUGAAACGGUGGGGCAUGAUAAUUGUAUUGAGAAUUUAAAAUAUGCGUGACAUAUUUUAUACAUCAUUUAAUAGUUAUAUUUGAUGAACUAAAUAGGGUGAUGCGAACUCGAAUUUGAAAGCGUCAAAAUGCACUACAAUAGAAUGAGGAGGACAAAAAUCUUCUAGUAUUCUUUUGGAGACUUGAAAUAUUUG
rnacentral:lncRNA from 1 species